rnacentral:rRNA from 1 species
CGUAGUUAGCCGGGACUUAUUCCUGAGGUACCGUCCUCUCUCUUCCCUCAGAAAAGGAUUUUACGACCCGAAAGCCUUCAUCAUCCACGCGGCAUUGCUGCAUCAGGGUUUCCCCCCAUUGUGCAAUAUUCCU